UUCUAAACCCUAGCAGCCUCCCUCCCACACAAUUCCUGCAGAUCCAUUUGUUGACGAGUUUCAAAGGUUAGUACACCAUAUUCUUUUGUCUCCCAAUCAUCUCUUUAUUCUCAAAUAAAAUCCCUAAAUUGCUCAUCCUCAUCUGCCGACUAUCACAUACAUCGUUCUAAACCCUAGCCUCUCCUUCACCCCCUAUCUAUCUAUUGCAAUCGGUUUACAUGGAUUAGAUUAAAUCAGACGAAUCAUUCCCAUUUCGAUCAGUGGCGAUCAUGUCUGGAAAGUAGCGGGUGCGUGUGGUGUGUUAUGUUUGGUUGUAGGUCUCCUUAAAGUUUAUCUUACGUUGUAGGAUUUCCAAGAACACUUGAAGAUCUUCAUCUUCUUAGUUCAGGUUAAUGAAGUCAUGGUCGAUCUGA
rnacentral:lncRNA from 1 species